UGCCCUGGCAAUGGCAAAGAGAUACCUUAUUUGGCGAUGUUGUUCUUAUAUCAGUCAGGGGUAGAGCAGUUGGCAGGCCUCUGGUCAUGCUAGCUUGAUGCCUAGAUUAGUAACCAAAGCUGUGUUGUACCUAGGUCACAUAA